rnacentral:tRNA from 1 species
GGGCGGUUAGCUCAGUUGGUAGAGCGGCUGCUUUACAUGCAGCGGGUCGGGGGUUCGAGUCCCUCAUCGCCCACCA